rnacentral:tRNA from 1 species
GCCUGGGUGGCUCAGUCGGUUGAGCGUCUGACUUCGGCUCAGGUCAUGAUCUCGUGGUUCGUGAGUUCGAGCCCUGUGUCGGGCU